rnacentral:rRNA from 1 species
GAUGAACGCUGGCGGCGUGCCUAAUACAUGCAAGUCGAGCGAACGGACGAGAAGCUUGCUUUUCUGAUGUUAGCGGCGGACGGGUGAGUAACACGUGGAUAACCUACCUAUAAGACUGGGAUAACUUCGGGAAACCGGAGCUAAUACCGGAUAAUAUUUUGAACCGCAUGGUUCAAAAGUGAAAGACGGUCUUGCUGUCACUUAUAGAUGGAUCCGCGCUGCAUUAGCUAGUUGGUAAGGUAACGGCUUACCAAGGCAACGAUGCAUAGCCGACCUGAGAGGGUGAUAGGCCACACUGGAACUGAGACACGGUCAAGACUCCUACGGGAGGCAGCAGUAGGGAAUCUUACGCAAUGGGCGAAAGCCUGACGGAGCAACGCCGCGUGAGUGAUGAAGGUCUUCGGAUCGUAAAACUCUGUUAUUAGGGAAGAACAUAUGUGUAAGUAACUGUGCACAUCUUGACGGUACCUAAUCAGAAAGCCACGGCUAACUACGUG